GCCGAGGUAGCCAAGGCGGUCACGGCGCUUGUCUGAAAAACAAGUUAUGUCGGUUCGAUUCCGACCCUCGGCACCA
rnacentral:tRNA from 5 species